rnacentral:rRNA from 1 species
CCUACGGGUGGCAGCAGUGAGGAAUAUUGGUCAAUGGACGAGAGUCUGAACCAGCCAAGUAGCGUGAAGGAUGACUGCCCUAUGGGUUGUAAACUUCUUUUAUAUGGGAAUAAAAUGUUCCACGUGUGGGAUUUUGUAUGUACCAUAUGAAUAAGGAUCGGCUAACUCCGUGCCAGCAGCCGCGGUAAUACGGAGGAUCCGAGCGUUAUCCGGAUUUAUUGGGUUUAAAGGGAGCGUAGAUGGAUUGUUAAGUCAGUUGUGAAAGUUUGCGGCUCAACCGUAAAAUUGCAGUUGAAACUGGCAGUCUUGAGUACAGUAGAGGUGGGCGGAAUUCGUGGUGUAGCGGUGAAAUGCUUAGAUAUCACGAAGAACUCCGAUUGCGAAGGCAGUUCACUGGACUGCAACUGACACUGAGGCUCGAAAGUGUGGGUAUCAAACAGGAUUAGAUACCCUUGUAGUC